AGUUAAAAAGCUYGUAGUUGGAUUUCUGGCAGGAGCGGCGGGUCGCGCACUCUGUGCGUGAACUUGGCUGUCUCUGGCCAUCCUUGGGGAGAUCCUGUUUGGCAUUAAGUUGUCGGGCAGGGGAUACCCAUCGUUUACUGUGAAAAAAUUAGAGUGUUUAAAGCAGGCUUAUGCCGUUGAAUAUAUUAGCAUGGAAUAAUAAGAUAGGACUUUGGAACUAUUUUGUUGGUUUGCGUUGCAAAGUAAUGAUUAAUAGGGACAGUUGGGGGUAUUCGUAUUUCGUUGUCAGAGGUGAAAUUCUUGGAUUUCCGAAAGACGAACUACUGCGAAAGCAUUUACC
rnacentral:rRNA from 1 species